rnacentral:rRNA from 1 species
UACGUAGGGACCAAGCGUUGUCCGGAAUCAUUGGGCGUAAAGCGCGCGUAGGUGGCCAUUUAAGUCCGCUGUGAAAGUCAAAGGCUCAACCUUUGAAAGCCGGUGGAUACUGGAUGGCUAGAGUACGGAAGAGGCGAGUGGAAUUCCUGGUGUAGCGGUGAAAUGCGCAGAUAUCGGGAAGAACACCCGUGGCGAAGGCGGCUCUCUGGGACGGUACUGACGCUGAGACGCGAAAGCGUGGGGAGCGAACAGG